rnacentral:lncRNA from 1 species
UUGCCUUUUAACCACAGAUUCUUUAUUGAUGUAUAUCUAUCAACGAGUAACUAACACGUUAAAUUAUUUAUUUACUUUCAGAAUUAAAAACAUUAGUUAUCAGUCUUGUCUUAGGAAUUUCUGCUGCUGUCGGAAUUACGAUUUUCAUCAUAUUAAUCUCACUAAAAAUUAGUUCGCUGAAAAAAGUGAAAAAUAAAAGUACGGAUGACAUAUCAUCGGUCGUAAGUAAUUUUUUUUUAAAGAUUUAUGUUUUAAAUGUGUUUGAAGUUUGAUAAUUUUUUGAUUUUGAUUUUUUCAAUUUGUAUGGUUUCGUAUGUUUUGAUACAAAUAAAUAACGAGAAAAUAUUAUCUUAAACAUAUCUGUUUGUAUUGAUCACGAAAUUAACCUGUAAUUUCUACAAAUAUAAUAAAGUUGGUUCCAAUUUGUAACACGUUUACAUUACUCCAAUCUCUUUAAUUUGCAUUAAAAGUACAAAAAAGUACAGUUUGUCUGUUACUUUUAACAUAAAUUUAUUUUGAUAUAUUAUAUUUUGAAAAAGCAUUUCUAUUGCAAAGUUAUCGAGAAAUUGCAAAGUUUUGUGAAAAAGACGAGAUCCGACUUAGUACGAAUAUCAAUUUAUUUACAUAUUCACCAUUUUUUUUACAGAAGAAACAUCAUAAAGCAUGGACAUAGAUAAAAUCUUAGGACACUACGUUACAUACAAUUCAAUGUGUGUGAUACAACUAAUGGUAAAGGGCAUUCAUGGCAGCUGAUUAAGAGGAUUAAUCCAACUGAUAUCAGAGCAAAAAUAUCAAAACACUGAAUCAGUUUUUUUUUACAAUUGUUAUAUCAACUCUUCCUUUAUGUAAUAUUUGCACCGAUGCACUAUUAUUUUAACUAAUUUGUUUUCAUAAACGCUUUGAUUUUUGUAAAACAACUCUUUACCCAACUAUACUAAUCUUCUAAUAAAUGAAGUAAUGUGUGCUUAAGUUUCAAUAAAAAUAAUGUCCACUACAUGCAUUUACAAAGAGAGAGAGAGAGAGAGAGAGAGAGAGAGAGAGAGAGAGAGAGAGAGAGAGAGAGAGUAAUGUUCAAACCGGAUACGGAAUGGCCCUUACCGAUUCCGAAAUGAUACAGAUACAAAUAUGUGAAUUAGCAAUCAUUGUUAACAACGAAAGUAAGAUAUACAACACAUUACUAAAGACAAACACAUGACAUUGGAUAUACAUAAUGUAUCAAUGUGGAUACUUGAAAAUUCAAAAGAUCUUUUAGAGUACAUACAAUCUAACUCUCUUUCAUCUUGUAAUAGUAUUAAAACAUUUGACUUUUCUACACUUUAUACAAGUAUUCCACAUUCCAAUCUAAAAGACAAAUUGAAAGAGUUGGUAUUGCUUUGUUUCAUAAAAAAGAAUGGCCAACGAAGAUACAAGUAUCUUGUCAUAGGAAAGGAUAAAUCCUACUUUGUAAAGAAUCACUCUGAUUCAAACAAAAAGUUAUCUGAAACUGACAUUAUCAAGAUGCUUGAUUUCUUGAUUGACAACAUAUUUGUUACGUACGGAGGACCUGUUUUUCAAAAGACUAUCGGCAUUCCAAUGGGAACGAAUUAUUGCCGACUUAUUUAUUAUUAUUAUGAGGCUGACUUUCAUACAGGAACUUCUUAGGAAGAAAUAUAAGAAGUAAGAAAUAUCCUUUAACUCUUCUUUCCGCUAUAAAGAUGAUAUUUUUCCACUAAAUACUUCAAAAUUUGGUGACUAUGUCGAAUGCAUCUAUCCUAUUGAACUAGAGAUAAAGGGUACAAGAGAUACAGUUAAGUCGGCCUCAUAUCUUGACUUACAUCUAGAAAUUGACAACGAGGGUCGAUUGAAAACAAAACUUUACGACAAAAGAGAUAAUUUCAGCUUUUCAAUUGUGAACUUUCCAUUUCUAAGUAGCAACAUUCCAGCAUCACCUGCAUACAGUGUAUAUAUCUCUCAAUUGAUACGAUAUUCCCGUGCUUGCAUUUCCUAUCAUGAUUUUCUUGAUAGAGGGUUGUUGCUCACAAGGAGGCUAUUAAAUCAAGAAUUCCAAAUGGUGAAGUUUAAAUCAUCUCUUCGUAAAUUUUACGGACGCCAUCACGAGUUGGUUGACCGUUAUGGAAUAACGUUUCACAAAUGAUAUCGGAUAUGUUCCAAACGUCGUAACUACAGUCCCCUUCCUUUUCAUGAAUGUGACUUCCCGAAUUAGACUAUUUACCGGAUUUGUUAUCUCAUAAGCAACACGACGGGUGCCACAUGUGGAGCAGGAUCUGCUUACCCUUCCGGAGCACCUGAGAUCACCCCUAGUUUUUGGUGUGGUAGAUAUUGUUUAUUCUUUAGUUUUCUAUGUUAUUUCAUGUGAACUAUUGUUUGUCUGUUUGUCCUUUUCAUUUUUAGCCAUGGCGUUGUCUGUUAAUUGUCGAUUUAUGAGUUUGACUGUCUCACUGGUAUCUUUGGUCCCUCUUUUAUGACAAAAGAGUUUAGUGAUCAAACACUCCCUCUGCCUGGUCUUUUUCGCGUGUAAGAUAUAAGUUACGCACGUGCAUGAUCACAUUAAUUGAAAUACAAAAAAAACACUAUUAUGGUAAAAGUUCAUUAUUCUGUUUUAAAUUUGCGGGAAAAUUAACCUUGCAGAUUACGUAUUACAAACCUGUAACCUGCAAACUGAAAAAAAUAGAACAUUACAGUUAGUUGUUCAUAACUAAAUGUCAUUUCAUUGUACAUUAUGAACAUGAAACAGUGCUCAAAUGAGCUCCAUACGAGCACUUUUCUCACCAUUUUUGUGACAUGUGUACGUAAAUUUAGUUUAAAACAGUUUUAUUUACAAAAAAAUUGUAAUUACUGUUUAUUAUAUACAUUUUAGUUAUAUACACCACUUGUAUUUGUACAUAUUAUUGGUAUAGAUAUGCGUUUACAAUUAAUGAUUAUGCUGUUGAACGAAUCUGAACUUAAAAGAGUGAUGUCUUUUUUUGUAAAAUAACAGGAUAAUUUAAAUGUUUAAUUUUAUAUCUAUGUUGUGAAUGUUUUAUUCAAUGAAAAAAAUGACAUACUGCUUUGCAAUAUAUAAGACUGUGAUAUAGAAUGUUUGUGUAUUUUGCUCAUUCUUUGUAUGAUAGAUUUGUAAAUAUAGAUUACAGGACCGAUAUUAACG